GUGGGGAAUCUUGCGCAAUGGGCGAAAGCCUGACGCAGCCAUGCCGCGUGAAUGAUGAAGGUCUUAGGAUUGUAAAAUUCUUUCACCGGGGACGAUAAUGACGGUACCCGGAGAAGAAGCUCCGGCUAACUUCGUGCCAGCAGCCGCGGUAAUACGAAGGGGGCUAGCGUUGCUCGGAAUUACUGGGCGUAAAGGGCGCGUAGGCGGACAGCUUAGUCAGAGGUGAAAGCCCAGGGCUCAACCUUGGAAUUGCCUUUGAUACUGGCUGUCUUGAGUUUGGGAGAGGUGAGUGGAACUCCGAGUGUAGAGGUGAAAUUCGUAGAUAUUCGGAAGAACACCAGUGGCGAAGGCGACUCACUGGCCCGUUACUGACGCUGAGGCGCGAAAGCGUGGGGAGCAAACAGGAUUAGAUACCCUUGUAGUCC
rnacentral:rRNA from 1 species